rnacentral:rRNA from 1 species
CGAACGCUGGCGGUGCGCCUUAUGCAUGCAAGUCGAGCGAAGCUUUUCAGUAGUUUACUACAGAAAAUGACUGAGCGGCGAACGGGUGAGUAACGCGUGAGCAAUCUACCUUAGUUACAGGGAUAGCCCGAGGAAACUCGGAUUAAUACCUGAUAUUCUUUACAUUUCGCAUGAAAUCAAAAGGAAAGGUCAGCCGAACUAAGAUGAGCUCGCGUUCUAUCAGCUAGUUGGUGAGGUAAAAGCUCACCAAGGCAACGACGGAUAGCUGGUCUGAGAGGACGAUCAGCCACACUGGGACUGAGACACGGCCCAGACUCCUACGGGAGGCUGCAGCAGGGAAUAUUGCGCAAUGAGCGAAAGCUUGACGCAGCGACACCGCGUGUGGGAUGACGGAUCUAGGUUUGUAAACCACUUUCAGGAGGGAAGAAAAUGACGGUACCUCCACAAGAAGCCCCGGCCAACUACGUGCC